rnacentral:rRNA from 1 species
CUKGGCUCUGAAYAUCUAWGGCUAGAUAAAGUACAAGUCGUAACAAGGUUUCAGUUGGAGAACCAGCUGAAGGAUCAUUU